rnacentral:rRNA from 1 species
UGGGGAAUAUUGCACAAUGGGCGAAAGCCUGAUGCAGCGACGCCGCGUGAGGGAUGACGGCCUUCGGGUUGUAAACCUCUUUCAGCAGGGACGAAGCGCAAGUGACGGUACCUGCAGAAGAAGCACCGGCUAACUACGUGCCAGCAGCCGCGGUAAUACGUAGGGUGCAAGCGUUGUCCGGAAUUACUGGGCGUAAAGAGUUCGUAGGCGGUUUGUCGCGUCGUUUGUGAAGACCAGCAGCUCAACUGCUGGCUUGCAGGCGAUACGGGCAGACUUGAGUACUGCAGGGGAGACUGGAAUUCCUGGUGUAGCGGUGAAAUGCGCAGAUAUCAGGAGGAACACCGGUGGCGAAGGCGGGUCUCUGGGCAGUAACUGACGCUGAGGAACGAAAGCGUGGGUAGCGAACAGG